AUUUAUAUAGUUUAACUAAUUUAAAACCCCUUAUUUUCAAUAAGGAGAAAAGAUCUUUUCUUUAUAAAUA
rnacentral:tRNA from 1 species